GUUGUCCCCGACUCCCACCGGGUUCCCGGGGCUGCUGCUCGGGCUCUGUUCGCUGCCGCCGCUGUCGCUCGUCGGAGCUGCCAUGGCAUGAUCCGUCCCUCAUAGGGGACAAGGUUUAAACCAAGAUUUUCAGCUUUGAACUUCAAUUAGCUCUGGGCUGACAAGAAAAAUGUCAAAACGGAGUAUGGAGAAGAGAUCCACAGAGCCAGUAGAGCUAGAGUACACUUGUGCUGUUCCUCCCACUGCCCAGUUUCUAGGACGUGUGCCACCUCCAUGCCAAAAAGUGGCUUGAUGCUAAUAUAAAGCGUGAAGGUCCAAACCACUGAUGCAGGAAGGACCACAGGAUAAGUUCAGCUGAAAUUGAAUGCUGUGUUCCUUCUGGAGGCACUGAAGAAGAAUCCAUUCCCGGACUCUCCAGCUUGCAGAG